rnacentral:rRNA from 1 species
CAGUCGCCGCGGGAAUACGAAGGGGGCUAGCGUUGUUCGGAUUUACUGGGCGUAAAGGGCGCGUAGGCGGACUGAUAAGUCAGGGGUGAAAUCCCAAGGCUCAACCUUGGAACUGCCUUUGAUACUGUUUGUCUUGAGUUCGAGAGAGGUAAGUGGAACUGCGAGCGUAGAGGUGAAAUUCGUAGAUAUUCGCAAGAACACCAGUGGCGAAGGCGGCUCACUGGCCCGAUACUGACGCUGAGGCACGAAAGCGUGGGGAGCAAACAGGAUUAGAUACCCCGGUAGUCCCUGUCUCUUAUAC